rnacentral:misc_RNA from 1 species
AAGUCGUAACAAGGUUUCCGUAGGUGAACCUGCGGAAGGAUCAUUAACACAAUUUUACUGUGAUAAAAUCCGUUGAAUUCUUCUCGAAUUCAAUGGUAUCCACCCCAUUAUUGACGAUCUUUUCUUAGAUGUUUCAAAAAACAUAGAGCUCAGUCUUUACGUAUUUUGAAAACAUUCUAAAAACCUUUUUCUUUACCCUAUAACAUUUUUUUAACCCCUUUUACAACAUGCCUUAGACUGAAAUGAGAAUUUUCUAUCAAAAAAAAAUUGAUAAAAACAACUCUUAACAACGGAUAUCUUGGCUCUC